UACGUAGGGUGCGAGCGUUAAUCGGAAUUACUGGGCGUAAAGCGUGCGUAGGCGGUUCCUCAAGUCCGUUGUGAAAGCCCCGGGCUCAACCUGGGAAUGGCAGUGGAAACUAGGGGACUGGAAUCUGGCAGAGGGGGGUGGAAUGCUGCGUGUAGCAGUGAAAUGCGUAGAGAUGCGGCGGAACACCGAUGGCGAAGGCAGCACCCUGGGCUGAGAUUGACGCUCAGGCACGAAAGCGUGGGGAGCAAACAGG
rnacentral:rRNA from 1 species